UGCAGUCGAGCGAAUGACGAGGAGCUUGCUCCUCUGAUUUAGCGGCGGACGGGUGAGUAACACGUGGGCAACCUGCCCUGCAGACUGGGAUAACUUCGGGAAACCGGAGCUAAUACCGGAUAAUCCAUUUUACUUCAUGGUGAAAUGUUGAAAGGCGCUUUCGCGCCACUGCAGGAUGGGCCCGCGGUGCAUUAGCUAGUUGGUGGGGUAACGGCCUACCAAGGCGACGAUGCAUAGCCGACCUGAGAGGGUGAUCGGCCACAUUGGGACUGAGACACGGCCCAAACUCCUACGGGAGGCAGCAGUAGGGAAUCUUCCACAAUGGACGAAAGUCUGAUGGAGCAACGCCGCGUGAGUGAUGAAGGUUUUCGGAUCGUAAAACUCUGUUGUAAGGGAAGAACAAGUACGUUAGGAAAUGAACGUACCUUGACGGUACCUUAUUAGAAAGCCACGGCUAACUACGUGCCAGCAGCCGCGGUAAUACGUAGGUGGCAAGCGUUGUCCGGAUUUAUUGGGCGUAAAGCGCGCGCAGGUGGUUUCUUAAGUCUGAUGUGAAAUCUCGCGGCUCAACCGCGAGCGGUCAUUGGAAACUGGGGAACU
rnacentral:rRNA from 1 species